rnacentral:misc_RNA from 1 species
UUUCCGUAGGUGAACCUGCGGAAGGAUCAUUAAAGAGAUUAUGCCCUUCGGGGUCGAUCUCCCACCCUCUUUUUAUAUUACCUUUGUUGCUUUGGCAGGCCCGUCUUCGCACCACCGGCUUCGGCUGGCCAGUGCUUGCCAGAGGACCCAAAAAUCUUAUUAUUAAUGUCGUCUGAUUACUCUAUAAUAGUUAAAACUUUCAACAACGGAUCUCUUGGUUCUG